rnacentral:rRNA from 1 species
UACGAAGGGUGCAAGCGUUAAUCGGAAUUACUGGGCGUAAAGGGUGCGUAGGCGGCCAGCACAAGUCAGUUGUGAAAUCUCCGGGCUUAACUCGGAAAGGUCAACUGAUACUGUGCGGCUAGAGUGCAGAAGGGGCAACCGGAAUUCUCGGUGUAGCGGUGAAAUGCGUAGAUAUCGAGAGGAACACCUGCGGCGAAGGCGGGUUGCUGGGCUGACACUGACGCUGAUGCGCGAAAGCCAGGGGAGCGAACGGG